UCCUCCCUCUGGCGGCGUGCUUAACACAUGCAAGUCGAACGGAAAGGCCUGCUUUCCCUUGUGGAUUGCGGGUACUCGAGUGGCGAACGGGUGAGUAACACGUGAGUGAUCUGCCCCCAACUUGGGUAUAAGCCUGGGAAACUGGGUCUAAUUCCCGAUAGGACUGCAGGGUGGUGCCUGUUGUGGAAAACGAUUUUCUAGUGGUUGGGGAUGAGCUCGCGGCCUAUCAGCUUGUUGGUGGGGUAAUGUCCUACCAAGGCGGCGACGGGUAGCCGGCCUGAGAGGGUGGACGGCCACAUUGGGACUGAGAUACGGCCCAGACUCCGACGGGAGGCAGCAGUGGGGAAUAUUGCACAAUGGGCGGAAGCCUGAUGCAGCGACGCCGCGUGGGGGAUGACGGCCUUCGGGUUGUAAACUCCUUUCGACCGCGAGGAAGCCACCUGGUUGGAAGGGUGGUGACGGUAGUGGUAGAAGAAGCACCGGCUAACUACGUG
rnacentral:rRNA from 1 species